rnacentral:rRNA from 1 species
UACGUAGGGUGCAAGCGUUGUCCGGAAUUAUUGGGCGUAAAGGGCUUCUAGGCGGUUUGUCACGUCGACUGUGAAAACUCGGGGCUCAACCCCGAGCCUGCAGUCGAUACGGGCAGACUAGAAUUCGGUAGGGGAGAUCGGAAUUCCUGGUGUAGCGGUGAAAUGCGCAGAUAUCAGGAGGAACACCGGUGGCGAAGGCGGAUCUCUGGGCCGAUAUUGACGCUGAAGAGCGAAAGCGUGGGGAGCGAACAGG